rnacentral:rRNA from 1 species
UACAGAGGGUGCGAGCGUUGUCCGGAAUUACUGGGCGUAAAGGGCGCGUAGGCGGCCCGCUAAGUCGAACGUGAAAUCCCCGAGCUCAACUCGGGAACUGCGUCCGAUACUGGCGGGCUUGAAUCCGGGAGAGGGAUGCGGAAUUCCAGGUGUAGCGGUGAAAUGCGUAGAUAUCUGGAGGAAUACCGGUGGCGAAGGCGGCAUCCUGGACCAUUACUGACGCUGAGGCGCGAAAGCUAGGGGAGCAAACGGG